rnacentral:rRNA from 1 species
GACGAACGCUGGCGGCGUGCUUAACACAUGCAAGUCGAACGGAAAGGCCCUGCUUUUGCGGGGUUCUCGAUUGGCGAACGGGUGAGUAACACGUGAGUAACCUCCCCUUGACUUUGGGAUAACUUCAGGAAACUGGGGCUAAUAUCGCAUAUGAGCUCCUGCUGCAUGGUGGGGGUUGGAAAGUUUCGGCUGUUGGGGAUGGACUCGCUGCUUAUCCGCUUGUUGGUGGGGUAGUGGCUUACCAAGGCUUUGACGGGUAGCCGGCCUGAGCGGGUGGACGGGCACAUUGGUACUGAGAUACGGAGCAGACUCGUACGUUAGGCAGUAGUGGAGAGUAUGGCGCAAUGGGGGGAAGUCUGAUGCAGCGGCGCCGCGUGCGGAAUGCCGGCCUACGGGUGGUGAACAGAUUUCGCAGGAGAUGAAGCGUGAGUGACGGUAAUGGGUAAAAAAGCAACGGCUAACUACGUG